rnacentral:rRNA from 1 species
GUUAAAACUUUCAACAACGGAUCUCUUGGUUCUGGCAUCGAUGAAGAACGCAGCGAAAUGCGAUAAGUAAUGUGAAUUGCAGAAUUCAGUGAAUCAUCGAAUCUUUGAACGCACAUUGCGCCCCUUGGUAUUCCGGGGGGCAUGCCUGUUCGAGCGUC